AACUCGAUCAACUCUAGUUAAGAGUUGGGAUUGACCUCAUAUGUAGCUGCUGCUGCAUAUCUGGUUUGAAUGUAUCAAGUUGAUGGGCUUCCCAACGUUGCUCAAUGUGUGCUAGCGAGACAGUCGUCCCGAUCUCACAUUACAGCUCUGUUGCAAGGUUCUAUGUACAACUUUUUUAUUUAUUAUUAUCAAUU
rnacentral:misc_RNA from 1 species